CAAAAUGUAGCUAAAUUAGUAAAGUACCUCCCUUACACCGAGGAAAAACCCGUGCAAAUCGUGUCAUUUUGA
rnacentral:tRNA from 1 species